GGAAUCAGGAACUUCGAACCCCGAAAUUAGAGUAUCCAAGAGGAAAUUGUUGAAGGACGUGAUAUAGAUUUGAGAAUCCUCCAGUUCUGUUCUUGCACGUCGCAACCGAGUUGACUCAUGAGUCGAUCAUUUCUACUCGAGUUCCUUUAAGGAAUCCGCAAUCGGUGAUUGUCAAUAGCAUGUCCAUUUACUUCGUUGGCUCUCUUGACUCGGCCGGCGUGUUACACUUCAACUUUUAAUUUAUCCGAAAGCCAAAAAC
rnacentral:misc_RNA from 1 species